AGGCAGCCGCUGGUGAAAGCCAGAGGAAAGUCCAUGCUCGCACCGCCUGAGACGGCGGUAGUGUUUGUGCUGGCCCAAUCAAUAAGGCCAGGCAGCGCAAGCUGACGGCGGAGCCGAUGCCUAAAGAGCAAUCCAUGGCGGAGGCCCUUAACGUGUCACAGUGACGAAGCCGGCGGGGAAACCUGCCGGGUGGAACGCGAUAAACCCCUCAAGCGAGAAAUCCAAAUUUGGUAGGAGAAUCUCCAAUGGCGAAAUGAAGCCGGCGGAGGGUGCGAAAGCACAGAUAAAUGGCUGCCGCGUCCGCAGGGACGAACAGAACAUGGCUUACC
rnacentral:RNase_P_RNA from 1 species